UAACUUCCUUUCAGUCCAAUUUUAUUACGAAAAAUUCUAGUAAUUCAGAUAAUUAAAUGUAUGUAUAAAUUUGUAUACCCUGUAAGGUAAUACGAAAACUGUACAUAUGUACAUAGUAUAUGUAUGUAUUUAGAUAUGAGGAUGUGUGUACAUCUAAGUUUAAGAAAAUUCGCUGAUCCUCCCUGGAUAUCGAACAUAUACGUACAUACUUAUGUAAUAGAAUAAAAAAAUCAUAAAACGGAUAAGCUUAUUAAAGGUAUAAUAUCGGAAAAUUGAAAAAAUUGUGCACAUAUAUGUAUGUACAUACAAAGGUAUAUGUAGGUGCAUAUUGGGUGUGCGCAUGUAUCGCACAUAUGAAAGCGGAUUGGUUGAUUGCGUCGAAUAUAUUUAAGAAAACGCUACAGCCGUGGGUACACAAAAAACCACAUAUGUAUGUAUCUAGUAAUAUCCACAUAUGCGUGCCAUACAUGUAGAUACACAUAUGUGUACAUACUGAUGUGUGUAUCUAUAUGUUCGCAUUCGUAAUUCCAGUGAAUAUGUGACGUUAACUUCACUUUGAAUAAAACCCUCAGUAAUUCCCUACACACGAAGCAAGCGUCCAUUUGCAAAACCGUGUGGUAACACUGCCCUUCCAAACGCUUGAACGAGUUCCCGGUCGAGGGUGUUCGUGUGUCGAUGUGUAUCUAUCCAUUGGAAUAUAUGUAUGUAUAUGCUUAAAUACUUCCAAUAUAGAACGGUCAGAAAUUUUUAUUCUGAACCGAAAACAAAAGUACUCAGUACAAUACAUUUUACAAUGAUCGUGUAGAUCAUUUUAUGUACGUAUUUGCUUACAAUAAUUUCUUCAAUAGUCCCAAUACAUAAAUGCAAUGUAUAAUCGGAAAAAUAUAAAUCUAAUUAACAAAAUUAAUUGAUCUAAAAACGGUAAUAUUGGGUAUAUACUGGAUUUUUAGAUAUUUUACUACUUUCACAAAUUUCCACCCAUUUUAUGCAUCUACUUUUACCUUUAUAAAUUAGACAUACUUUUCAACCCGCAUUUGAAAAUUUUUUUCUAAAGUACUCAGUAAUUAUCUUCUAUUAAUAACAAAUAAUAGAAGUAUAAUUUUAUAAAAUUAAUAAAACAACUAAAAAAUUUUUCUUGGUGUUCUUCCAUUUUCCACAAAGCGGCUCGUUCCAAUGCUAUUUCGUGUAUUUACAUUUUUUUCGCAAGCCGUUGCUGGUUUUGGCCUCACCGCCUACGGAAAUUUUUUGGUUAAAUAAAAAAUUAAAGUAAAAAAUAGUAUUGCUGGUAAAUAACCUUAAGUAACCGUUUCUAUAAAACGGAAGUGUUGAAAUUUGUGAAAAGUGACUUAAUAUAGACAAGUAUACAAGUUAGCGCAAUAAUUAUACUAAAAAGUUAGUGAAAAAAUAAAAGUUUGAGUUAUUAAAAUAAAACGUUAAAUAUAAGUAAAAAUUUAAAAUAGUAAGAAGAAAUAGUUAAGUGAAUGAAAAUACGAUUAUGUCGUAAGUGCAUUGGAGGGUCCGAGCUAAAAUAUGUGAAGAGUCUCCUAGAAAAUCAUGUGAAAAAUCGAUUGGAAAGUUAGACUGGAAAUGUGUGUGAAACAACAUCGUUCCAAUGUAUGGAAUAUAACGCUGUGAAUUGUUUGCUUGAAACUUUUAGUGCAAAAUGUCAAAGUUUGACAAUCGCCGCCAAUAAAUGACAUCAGUAAGAAAAACUUAGUAAAUAUUUGCAACAAUUGCAAAUACGCAAAAGAUAUAAAAGAAUAAAAACAAAAAGUGAGUGGUGGGCAUGAAGGUGCGGAGGUGAGGACCGAAAGCAAAUAAAUGUGGAAGAGCAAGGUGAAGAUUUAUACAGACGUUCCCAGUUCCUGAGAGUGACGUUUUCGAAAUAAUGGAAUCAAAUCCCAAUGGGAUAAAAAUAGAGCCUACACUUGAACAGCAGCAGCAUUCACAGUACGCUACACAUCUACUCGCAUUGAAUGGACACAAUGCACGGCUUCUUAUUGAGCACCCCUCAACGUUGCUGGUGCCAUUAUCACAUCAGCAGCAACAGCAGCAGCAGCAACAUCAGCAGCAGCAGCAACAACAACAACAGCAUCAAUUACAUCAGCAACAUCAGCAGCAGCAUCAUUUUCAACAGCAUGACCAGCAAAUACAACAGCAGCAACUACAGUUAAGCACAUUACCGGGUUAUCCACAACCUCUAUCGCUAAAGCAACAGCCCGCAACAACGCCGGUGCCUGGAGGUGUUACCACAACUCACGGUCCUACAUCAGUUACAUCGUCAACUUCCUCACGUACAGCAGCACAACGCUGGAACGAAAGUCCUGAAGCCCGCGCCCGUCGUUUGGCACGCAAUGCUGAAAGGAUGCGUGAAAGGCGUAAUCGCGAAAGUGAAGAAGAAUACCGGAAGCGUCUCGCCCGGAAUGCAGAAGCAAAUCGUCUUCGGCGCCAAAAUGAGUCGGAUAUGGAACGAGCCAUGCGCCUGGUGCGCAAUGCAGCUAGGCAAAGGCUACGUCGGGCAAUGGAAACGCCGGAGCAGCGGGGAAAACGACUUCAGAAGCUUGCUGAACGCAUGCGACUUUAUCGGUCUAAUGAGACACAGGAUCAGCGAAAAGUACGUUUGGCAGAAAUGGCAGCACGAGCACGACAACGCAUUGCAAACGAGACUCCAGAGCAACGCAAGGAGAGACUGAGGAAGUUAAAUGAUUACGCAAAAAAGGUCAGAGAAACUAAGAAAAAAUCCAAGCAGGAGCAAAGUGAGAAUUCGCAGAAUUCGAGCCAAUUGCAAAGUACUGCUGCCAGUUCCACUAAUGAAAAUAUCAAUUUGAACCAGGCAGCCCCGCAAUCAGCAGUCGCAACAAACAACACCAUAGACCAACAACAACCCCAGCAAUCCAAUGACGAACAACUAGCAUCUUAUCAACCACAGCAGACGGCGUUAACCAAUCCCAUAGAGUACUAUCAGAAUAUGUUCAUGAGUCCGGCAACAUUGAGACCUGCUUUACUUAAACAGGAGCAAUUAACAACACAGCAGCAACAGCAACAACAAUCAAUGCAGCAAGGACGUUUUACACACCAACAGCAGCAACAACAAACAAUACUAGAUUCAGAAUCAAAUAGCAUGUUCCCUCAACAACUAUACGAUAAUGACCAGAAACCACCAAGCGCAUCUGGUAAUGGCACUGCAACAACGUCUUCUAAGUUGCCACAAGCACAUGUACCGCAGUUCAGCACAAUUGCCAGUUCCCUUGAAUUCUAUCAAAACAAGUAUAUGAAGAAGCAGGAACUUCAGACAAACAAUCCAACGAAUAACAGUGGGUCUGUUGGUGGCUCCAAUUUGCAGAACGAUACAAAGGUGAUCGUAGCAUCCACGUCCAACUCUACAUUUCCAGCUGCUGCAGCAAAUUCGGGAUCAACCGUAGUGACUUCACCAUCCAGUACGCCCACUCAAGCCACCUACUACCCCAUGUAUCACAAUGGAUUUCAACUGACUAUUCCACCGAAUACAGUGCCGCCACCAUUUACACCUGUGCAUUUCACCAAUAAUACAACCAACUCGGGAACAUCGCCGACUUCUGGACAAGUGGCCCAAGCUGGUGUUGGCGGAGCAUAUAAUUUAUUGGCGAAUUCAUCUAUAACUGCUGCUGCGGCGGUCGCAGCUGUUGCUUCAACUGCUACACAACAACAACAAGCUAUACAGGAUUUUCCAAAACCGGUCCGCGGUCGCCCUAGAAAGGUCAUCUUUUCCAAUACAGGUACUGGCAACAAUGCCUCAACUACUAACAACACGGGAGACUCAAAAAACGGCAUUUAUCUGCUGCCCACAGGAACCACUGAAUCGCCUGAGGACGCUCUACGGCAACAAAAGGUGAGUGCCUUGCUUGAGCAAGAAAUAAACCAAAUGCUCGCAUCACCACAGCAGACACCGCGCCGCGGACGUGGUCAACAACAUUCCUCGCCUACAGGCUCGACCCGGGGCAGCGGGCAUAAAUAUGAAACAGAUGAAGACAAACGAAGACGAUUGGACAAAAUGGCAGCACAUCAAAGAGAAGUGAGGGCGAACGAAACACCGGAACAACGAGCAGUACGUUUAGCUAAACUAUGCGAGAGAGCUCGACUGAAACGAGCCGAAAUACGAGCGACCGAAUCACCAGAUGAACGGAAAGUACGUCUAUCCAAACAAGCCGAAUAUGCACGUAUGCGCCGUUUACGGACUCAUUCACGUCGUCGCACUGAAGACAGAGCACGCGAACUUUAUGAAGAGCUUAAAAAAGAUGUGGAUAUAUCCAGUGACGGCAACGACUCCAACGGGAACACUAAAUUGCAGCCACAAGAUCAGCAACAAGAUCUACUUCAGCAACAACAGCAGCAAUCACAACAACUACAACAGCAGAUGUUGCACUCAAAUGAAUCCUCCAAUAUGGUAACCGCACAACUCCAGCAACAGCAGCAACAACAACAGCAGCGUUUCUUAGCUUUAGCCAAUUCGCAAGCGCCUCAACAGCAAGAUCAACAACAACAAAUGUCAGCCUCUAACAAUGCAUACGGCAAACCGCCGUGCAAAGAAUACAAUUCACAGCCUGAGAAUAAUGAUAUGCUUAAGAUUCUCGAACCUAUCAUCGUAAUGAAAACAAAAUAAAGCUAACUAAUAUAUAAACAAAUCUAGCAAGUACGCAUCAAAAACAAUACACAAUAGUCUAUCAAUAAAAACCAGUUUAUGAUAAAUACACCUUCACUUUUACACGACGAUGACGAUUGAAGCCCACGUCUAUAAAAACAAAAUAUAAUAAUAAAAGCAUAUAACAAAUAUACACGUGGUAACAAACACUACAAUAUAUCACCGAAAUCACGAUAAAAUGUCGGCAGCAGUUAUUCAACUGGAAUUCAACACCUUACACUCCAUCGAUACGGAGUAUUCCGCCGACUCCAUAGAAUGGUGCCCACACCAGCAAUACCAAUCCUAUUUCGCUUGCGGCACAUAUCAAUUGGAAGAGAAUGCUAGCGAGGAAAGCGCAAUGCGCACCAGACGAAAGGGUCGCAUAUAUCUAUAUAGGUUUUGUUCUACCACCAAAGAGCUCACGGAAGUGUGUCGCUUGGAGACAGCUGCCAUUCUAGAUAUGAAGUGGUUAAUCGACGGAACGAACGCGAAUCCACUACUUGCAACUGUCAAUUCGUUUGGUCAGCUAGAAAUUUAUGAGUUUGAAGAAGAUACAUUGAAAAGAAUCAACAGUUUGGAUAUAAAUUCUAACUAUGACGAUUUGCUCGCAUUGUCACUGGAUUGGAGACGUACAGAUAAUUCCAGCCAAUCCAGUCAAUUUCAAAUAUUGGUUUCAGACUCCAAAGGUGGCGUGAAUUUAAUCGACUAUGCACCAAAGUGUGAUCUCAAACGGACUAAUUGUUUUGAUGCACAUGGCUUUGAAGCAUGGACAUGUGCUUUUGAUCGUUGGGACUUAAAUCGUAUUUAUAGUGGUGGCGAUGAUGUACUUUUGCAAGCUUAUGAUCUGCGCACUGGCUCGCGUAUUUUCAGCAACAAAACGCAUAAUGCUGGCGUCACUUGCUUGCUCAGCCAUUCCAAACACGAGCAUUUAUUGCUGACUGGCAGUUAUGAUGAGCAUUUGCGUACAUUUGAUACACGCUCCAUGAAACAGCCCUUGGGAGAACUGAAUCUUGGUGGCGGCAUAUGGCGUCUAAAGAUCGAUCCGUUAGAGCGUGAUCUCAUUUUGGUCGCAUGCAUGUAUCAUAACUUCAGCAUUGUUCAGCUUAAUGGUGGACAGUUGGAGGCACCCACGUUACUUGGCGAAUACUACGAGCAUAAAAGCAUUUGUUAUGGAGCGGAUUGGUGUCUUGACGUGUCUGUAAAUAAAGAUUUGUACACAGCAACUUGUUCGUUUUACGAUCAUAAACUCUGUGUGGCACAAAUAGUUGAAGAGCACCAUUAACUGUGCGGUUGUAAGUUUUAAGUUACAGAAAAAAUAAAUAUCGUUGCAUUAUGUAAAUAACUGUAAACAGUUAUAAAAUAAAUGAACUUCGUUACCGCUCGGAUGAUUUGCUGGCGCUUACGUUUAAGUCAAAACUGUAAA